rnacentral:lncRNA from 1 species
AACGUAAAGUUUACAGAACUUUUCAUUGGAACUGUGUUGUGGCAGUUUAAUUUAUUUUUAAAAAGCUUCGUAUAGAGUUAGAUGUAUUUCUUUUAUCUCCGAUGAAUAGCUUGUUCUGAUUUUCUUGAAAAUAUAGGCCUUAACAUAAACUAGAAGCUGCGGAUUCUAACAAUGUUUCUCGUCUUUUCUGUUGAUUCCCAUUUGCUUAUAAAUUUACCUCUUCAUUUUGGUGUAGCUCUUUAUGAAAUUGAAGAAGUGGAAUCCUUGCAAUUUGAUUUUGGCACUGUCAGAACGGCAACGGAUAACUUCUCUGAAGCAAAUAAGCUUGGGCAAGGUGGAUUCGGUGCUGUAUAUAAGGUAAAAAAAAAAAUGUUAGGAUGAAAAAUACCGUUAGUUCUGUCAAAUAGUAGUUGAAUAUCGAGUUUUAAAUGUCUACCUCAAUCUGUUGUAUAUGAAACUUUUACUUUGAUGUGUUUACAGGGUAGGCUUCCUAACGGACAAGAUAUAGCCGUGAAGAGGUUGUCUAGGGAAUCAGGACAGGGAGAACUAGAAUUUAAGAAUGAGGUGAUAUUGGUGGCCAAGCUUCAGCAUAGGAAUUUGGUUAGGCUACUGGGUUUCUGCGUUGAAAAAGAAGAAAGNNNNNNNNNNNNNNNNNNNNNNNNNNNNNNNNNNNNNNNNNNNNNNNNNNNNNNNNNNNNNNNNNNNNNNNNNNNNNNNNNNNNNNNNNNNNNNNNNNNNNNNNNNNNNNNNNNNNNNNNNNNNNNNNNNNNNNNNNNNNNNNNNNNNNNNNNNNNNNNNNNNNNNNNNNNNNNNNNNNNNNNNNNNNNNNNNNNNNNNNNNNNNNNNNNNNNNNNNNNNNNNNNNNNNNNNNNNNNNNNNNNNNNNNNNNNNNNNNNNNNAUUAUUCUUCCUCUUAAGUUUUUCCUGACUUUGUAAUGAAACUGCAGAUCCAAUCAAGCGGGUGAAUUUGGACUGGGAUACGCGUUAUAAAAUCAUCUUCGGCAUAGCUAGGGGUCUCCUUUACCUCCAUGAAGAUUCUCGACUUCGGAUUAUUCACCGUGAUUUAAAAGCUAGUAACAUUUUGUUAGAUGAUGAGAUGAAUCCCAAAAUUGCAGAUUUUGGCAUGGCAAGAUUGUUCGCACUUGACCAAACGCAAGAAGAUACUAGUAAAAUUGUGGGGACCUUGUAAGUAAAACAUAAAAAGAAAUUUCACUUAAUAGCCACAAUCGAAAAAAUAAAAUUAAUAGAACUGACUUCUGUGUUACAGAGGAUAUAUAGCUCCAGAAUUUGUGAGGCGUGGACACUUCUCUGUCAAGUCAGAUGUAUUUAGCUUUGGUGUCUUAAUUUUAGAAAUCGCAAGCGGUCAAAAGAAUAAUGACUUCCGUAUUGGAGAGGAAGAAGAAGAUCUUCGAACCUAUGUAUGAAAUAGUAUUUAUAGGAACUACAUUUCUUUAUAUCUUGAAUUUUUCUUAAUCAUGGUAUCACUUACAUGGAAAUUUUUGCAGGCCUGGAGAAACUGGAAUGAAGGAACUGCUCUGAAUCUGAUAGAUCCAGCGUUGACCGUUGGCUCGAGAAGUGAAAUGUUGAGAUGCAUUCACAUUGGAUUACUGUGUGUUCAAGAAAAUGAAACUGAACGACCAACAAUGGCUCAAAUUAUUACGCUGCUCAGUAGCCACUCCGUUACUCUGGCAGUUCCCCUCAGACCUGCAUUUUUUAUGCAUGGUGAAUUAAGGAUGGGGACACAAUCUUCAUCAGAAAAUAAUGGGUCCAGAAAUGAAAUGUCGAUCUCCGAUCUGUACCCGCGAUAGUAUUUGAUGAAUUUUAAAUUGACAAUUAGAAGAACUCAUGUUAUGACCACUCGUAUUCUAUCUGCCAGAUUUCAAAUUCUGCUAGCAUUUUUUCUUUAAUUAAAAUUUCCAAAGUAUUAAUUGGUAAUUAGAUAGUUACUUUCUCAUGGCAUGUCAUCAUUACUGUCAUUUUUAAUUUUAUUUUUUGAAUAUUUAAUUAAAUUAGUAUUGUUAAUGAGAUAAUUAUGAAAUAAAAACAAUGAUACCAAGUAGAAAAGAAAACUCAAAGAAUUUUUUAUUAACUAAAACCAAAAGUUAACCACAAGUUACAUGCAUGACUAGUAUAUAAAGCAAAGAAAACCCUACUCUAUUGGCUAGGCCACAACUAACUAUAGCUGGCUCAACUAGUAUUACCCAUUUUAGCUACUGUAUUUAUAAAUAUGCCAUCAUGUAAUCUUUAGCCAACUGUCAAGACUCCCCUUCAAGUUGAACAUAUAUAUUAUGUAUGUUCAACUUGUUGAGUAAGUAAUUAAAUUGUGUAGGAUAUAACGAUUUAGUGAAAAUAUCAGGUCUUUGCACUAUUGUCUUCAUAUAUUCAGUUUGAAUAUGGCCUUGUGCAAUAUGCUCUCUCACAUGAUGAUAACACAACUCAAUAUAUUCCUCUCUUUCAUCUCCUCUUUAGAUUUCUUAGCUCAACUUUACUUAAAACUUCUCCUUUCGCUUUUGGCUUCUUCUCGUCAAUUAUUAUUUUCUAAAUCGCUCAAAUACCCAAGAAAUUUUCAAAAAAACUAAAAUGAGAGAGUGCAUAUAACUUCACAUUGGUCAAGCCGGUAUCCAAGUGGGUAACGCCUGCUGGGAGCUCUACUGCCUUGAACAAAGCAUUCAAGUGAGUUUAUAACAUUUCAUCAUUGUUAUGUUUUCUAUUUUCUCUUCUACUGAUUUUAAUGGCGACUAAUUUUGUGUUUUAACUCAGCCUAUGGAUAAAUGCCAGGGGACAAGAUAGUUGGCGGUGGAGAUGAUGCAUUCAACACUUUCUUUAGUGAAACUGGUGCUGGAAAGCAUGUCCCUCGCGCCGUCUUCCUUGAUUUGGAACCUACCUUUCGUGAAAAACUGGAUUCUUCGCUAUGUGCAGGGCAGCCUUGGUAUCACAAUAUAACUUUGCAGCUUGUGUAUGAUCUAUACCAAAAUCUUUCAAUAGAUAAAGCAACCGCAUUAUUUCACUUGUUGUUGAUGCCAUGGCCUAUAUUCUGCUUCUGCAAAACUCCUAGAAACAGUGCUUUGUUUCUUCGAUAUCCAAUUAACCAAUGAGUCCCUAAUGAAGAUACAAAACCCUGUCAAAGAUUUUCUGGUCUCUUUGCAGGAUGCCCAAUCACUAUUAGUAUAAGCAUUAAGCUAUAACUUUGAAUCUCUAGAGAAUAAAAUUCCUUAUCCAGGAGCUUGUUUCAAAUAUUUCAAAACCUUGAAUGCUGCUGUGAGAUGCAACUCAGAAGGUUUGUUCAUGAAUUGUGUAAGUACAUGAACAACAUAGCUAAUAUCCGGUGUAAUCAGGGUUAAAUACAUUAAUUAUCUAACCAGCUUCCUGUAAACAAAAGGAUCACUCAACAAGUAUUGAUCAUCGUGCACCAUAUAGAAACUAACCUCUAUAGGUAUACUGUUAGGCUUAGUUGCUAACUGCCCAUACUCUUGAAGUAGUUCCAAAGUAUAUUUUCUCUAUCAAAUAGAAAUACCAGUUUGUUACUUAGCAACCUCUAAACCCAUGAAGUACCUUAAAGUUUCGAAGUCUUUAAGUUUGAAAUGAGACUCCAGGGCUGCCUUAGUUUCUUUAAUAAGAGAUUGAUUAUUCCUUACUAUUGCAUUGUCAUCAAUAUAAACAAGCAAAACAAUAAAACCUGAAUAUGCAAUCUUAGUAAAUAAGGAGUAGUCUAAUUUGGAUUGAAUAAAACCAUGUUGUAAGAGAGCUUUCAAAAAUUUAACAUUCCAUCAUCUGGAGGCUUGCUUAAGCCCAUAUAAGGAUUUCUUAAGUUUACACACAAGCUUGCCAUAAUUGAGACUGGUACCAAUAGUGGACUUAGAACUAUCAGAAUCACAUAAACGCCCCUCCUGAAGUUAAUAGCCAGGUGGCAGAUCCAUGUACACCUCCUCAAUCAGAUCACCAUUGAGGAAUGCAUUAUUGAUGUUCAGCUGAGCUAAAGACCAAUUGUUAAUAGUUACUAAAGCAAAAAAAACACUCUCACAUUUGUGUGCUUAACAACGGGACUAAAAGUUUCUUAAUAGUCCAAUCCUCCCUAUGUGUAUACCUCUUAGCCAUUAACCUAGCUUUAUAACGUUCAACAAAUCCAUCAGAGUGGCAUUUGACUUUGUACACCCACUUACACCCGAUAGUUAACUUACCAAGAGGUAAAAUAACCACUCUCCAAGUAGAAUUUUCAACCAAGGCAUCAAGUUCUGAUUUCAUGGCGGCUUGCCAAUGAUCAUGCUUAACAGCUUCUUAGUAAGUUUUGGGUUUAAAAUAACGGGUAAAAGAUAAGGCAAAUGAUUUAAAAGAAUGAAAGUGAAGCAUAAGAAACAUAAUUAUGUAUAGGAUAAGUAACAGUUAAGGCAUAUGAGUUUGUAGCAUGUCUAACAAUAUGCAAGUAAUCAUUCAAAUAUGCAAGAACAUGUGGAACUCUAGUACUUCCUUUAAAUGGAACAUGUGUAUUUGUAGAUGGUGAAAGAACUGGUGAGGAAGAAAUAUGAACUAGUGAAGGAGAAUGAGAAGGAGAAAUAAGAGAAGGAGGUAAAGGAGAGGAAGGUAUUAUGGGAUUUGAUGAGGGAGAAAGAGUAUAGGGAAGAUCAAUCUCAAUUGUGUUUAACAUUGUAUCUAUGGAAUUGAACAUCCCUAGAUACAAGAUAAGUUUUGGAUUCCAAGUCAAAUAACCUGUAACCUUUGAUGUGCAUGGGAUAACCAACAAAAAUGCAUCUUCGAGCUCUUGCAUCAAAUUUAUUAUAAUGAGAAACUAAGUUUGAUGAAUAACAGAAGCAACUAAAUGAUAUGAGAUGAUCAUAAGAAGGUAAUCUUUUGAAAAUAAUUUCAAAAGGAGUUCUACCUUGAAGUUGAGUUGAAGGAGUUCGAUUAAUUAUGUAUGUUGCAAGCAAUACUGCAUCACUCCAAAAAUAUAAAGAUAAGUGAGUAUUAAAAAGCAAGUCACGAGUAACAUUUAAAACAUGUUGAUGUUUAUGUUCAACUGUGCCGUUCUGUUGAGGUGAAUAUGCACAGGUUUGUUGAUGGAUUAUCCUUUUAGAAUGAAAGAAAUCAUGUAGUAAGAAUUUUAUCCCUUGAUCAGUUCUAAUAGUUUGAAUGCUAACUGGAAACUAAUUUAGAAUUAGAUUAUAAAAGUAUUCAAUCAAUUGAGAAACUUCAGACUUAUAUUUCAUAAGGAACACCCUAGUACAUUUUGAGAAGUCAUCAACAAUACUUAGAAAUAAUGGUUAUUAUGUAGGUAAGCUUGUGCAUUAGGAACCCACACAUCCAUAUGAACAAGUUGAAAUAAAUGAGUGCUACAAGAUUCUGAUACAGGCAAAGGAUGCUUUUUAAGCUUUGCCUUUGGACAAGCAUCACAGGGAAUCUGUGAUGUUGAAUUAGAAGGAAUAAGAUGUUGAAGCUGAGGAAAGUUAUGUACCGCAAUAUGGCCCAUCCUAUGAUGCCAAACAUUAGGUGACAGUUUAUUGAUAAAAGAUUAUUUGAACAAAUGGCUUCUAGUUAGAUGAUGUGAAGUCUUGAGGAAGUAGAGUCCUUAUUGUAUUUUAGCAAGUCCAAUCAUCUUCAAAGAAGAAUGGUCUUGAAUACAAAAGAAGUAGCAGAGAAAAUAAAAGAAACAUUAAGUAAUUUUGCAAUUUUACUUACAGAAUUCAAAAUGAAAUUGAAAACUGGAAUGUGUAAAAAUUGAUGAAGCACUAGAUAUGAGCUAAUGACAACUGUAAGAAUUGAUGAAGCACUAGAUAGGAGCUAAUGACAACUGUCCCGAUAUGAGUUAUAUUAGCUUGCAUACCAUUAGGUAAAGAAACAUGCAUAUUAGUCAUAGGAUAAGAGGAAUCAAAACAAUCCAAAGAAGAUGCAAUAUGAUCUGUUGCACCUAAGUCAAGGAUCCAAAAUGACAUGUUUGACGUGAAAAAUGAUGAUGUUUAUGGAUAAUGAGCAGCGGAACAUAUUUAAGCACAAGCUAUACCUGCUGCAUUAACCAUAGGUAUGUAUAACAGUAGAUGGAGAGGGUGUUUGAUAUGGUAAAGAUGAUGCAGAAACAGUUUGAUUCAUAGGUGAACAUGAUUGUUGAGAAGUAUCGUCAAUUUCUUGACUUGAUUCCUAGAUAAACUCAACUGAGAUAGUGAUUCAACUGUUCCUGAAAAAUCACCUUCCAAUAUAGUUCAUGUCACUUGAUUAGCAGUAAGUGAUGAGUUUGUUCUAUCCCUAUUAAACUUAAAACUAGCAGGGAAUCCAAUGAUCUUGUAACAACAAUCCUUAGUAUGUCCAGAUUUACCAUAAUGAGUGCAAAUCAUAUUAGAUCUAUUAUGUUUAACAGCCAUGGCAGACAUUUCUGUAAAAUUUGUUGAUUGUAUCCGCAGGCUCCUUUGAUUUUUCUCUCUAAGGACCAUGUUUUAAACUUGAUCUAACAAAGGAGAAGGUUUCAUGAUCAAUAUCUAUGAUCUGACUCCUUGAAAAGAAUUAUUCAAUCCAUUCAAAAACUUAAAGACGUAAUCCUUUUGUUGUGUAUCAACAAAAGAUUGAAAACAAUCUUGAUUACAACAACCACAGGAACAAUGAGAAAAAAGACGAAAUUAUGAAGUUCCUCCCAAAUGCCAUUUAAUUCAGUAAAAUAUCCAUCUACUGUAUUAUUACCAUGUGUAAGAAUGCAUAAAAGAUUUUGCAAAUGACAGAUCCUAGAAUCAUCCGGCUAUGAGAACCGUGUAUUCAACUUCUUCCAAAUUUGUUUGGCUUCUUCAAAAUAAAACACAGUUGAUACGAUAGAAGAAGAAAUAUAUCUCAAAAGCCAAGCUACAAGAAGAUUAUUGCAUUAUAUCCAAGGUAAAUAUAAAGGAUUAUUAAGUGACGGUUUAGGAAUAGAACCAUUAAGAAAAUCUUAUUUGUUACGUAUUAAAACAGCUAGCAAAAGAAAUCGUUUCCAAGUAGUAAAGCUCAUUGAAGUCAGCUCUAGAGUAACAAUCACGGAACUCUAAUUUUCUGAAUGAUGAAGAAAAUAAAGCAAAGAAGAGUUUUCCAAAAGAUUUGUAGUAUCUCUAUAAGUGAGAGAAUGAAAACUCAUCGAAACUGGAGAUGGAUUUGGAUUUACAAUUUUAGUCAAUGAUCAUAUCAACAAAACUCUAUAACCAAAGGAAAACGCUUAUAUUUGCGCUUGUAUUUUUUUCCAUUUUUAUUUACCUAUUUGUCAAUAAAAAUAUAAAUAAAUCUUUGAGUUUUCUAUACCAAACUUUUUUCUAAACAUUUGCGGUUUUUUUUAUGCAUUUAGCACUUGUUUUUUUUAGCCAUUAUGUUUUUGAAAUUUAUUAUUUGAAACUUAUUUAAUAAAUAUUUAUUAAGAAAAAAAGAAUUAACUUACUAUUUUAAUAAAAGAAUAUUUAUAGGAAUAGUUAAACUACAGAUCCAUUAACUUACUAUUUUAAUAAAAGAAUAUUUAUAGAAAUAGUCAAACUACAAAUCCAUUAAAAAAAUAUACAAAUGCCUUUUAAUGAAAAUAUAAAUAGUUAUAUAUUUAUAAAUAUAUAUUAUCACGAAUAUUCAUUAUAAUAAUUUUUCUAUAACUUAUGAAUGAUUAUAAAGUUUUUAUCAUUUAUAUUCUAUUAGAAAUAAAUAACUACAUCUUGAUUAGAUAAGAAAAAAAGAUUAAAAAAAAUUACUUUUUAGUUCUUAUACUUAAAUGAUUUAAUUCAAAAUUUAUAAAUUAAAACACUUUUAAUUCUUUUCUUUUAAAUUGCUAAAACCGCAAGUUUUGCCCCAUGCACCUUUUCUUUUUUGUCAUUGGUUCCCUGCACUAUUAGUUGUGUAUAUACGCUUCUUAUACUUUUAUUUUCUAACAUACAUUCCUUACAUUUUUAUUUUUUAUAUUUUUGUUAAUAUUAUACACCCAUUAUGUCUGUGAGAAAAAUAUCUUAUUUAGUCCAUAAAGUUUUAAAUGAUCAAUUAAGUCUUUGUAUUUUAAAUUUAGCAGGUUCUUAAAUUAUUUUUAUUUAUUUUACUAAAAUCAUCUCACAAAAUUUAAUAAUAAAACUGGGUCAAUAGGUUGGCUCAACACAAUUUUGCCAAUGAUGAGCCCAAUAACAAAUAGAGAAGAGUAGGAAUAUAUGGAUUAUAAACCAGGAUUCAAUGGAAACCGACUCUUGGUACUAUCAACCUUCUGAUGUUAAAUAUUUAAUAAAUCAAUAGUUUUAUUAAUGAAUAAAUAUUCAAAAAAUCGACUUCGUUGCUUAUUGAAUAUCUAGCUAAUUUCUUCAAAAAAAAGAAUAUAUAGCUAAUUACAAUGCAUUUUAUAAUCAUUAAUUAAUUGAACAAGAGUUAUUGGGCCGUCUCAUUGCAACAGAUAUUGGGCCUGAUAUAAUUAACUUUCAGGUCUGGGGUGACAAAACGAACCUUUUGGAACAUUUGGACCAAUCUUGACGGCCCUAAUCAUUGUUGAGGUGUUUUCUUCAAGGCUGGCUUAUUUUUAAGAAAUUAGUUUUUUCUUUUUUUUCCUUUUUCCUGCUGAUGCUAUUAUUACAUUUUUAUUAGGAUAAGAUAGUGUUUAAUUAUUGAAAUUAAAAAAUAAAAGUACCUCUUGUAUUGAAACUCAAAAAAAGUAUUCCAUAAAAGCUGGAAUUUCAAAGCGAAAAAAAGUGAAAGUUUAAGAUAUAAGUGGCGGUACUUACAUUAAUUAAUGAGGAUAUUUUUUAAAAUUAAUUAUUAAAUUAACAAUUAAGAAAAAAAAAAUCAUCAGAUUUUAGAAAAAUUAUUAGUUAGACUUAUGCUACUAAAUCAUCUAUAAAUAAAUUAAAUUAAAUAUUGACAUAUGAUAUUAUUUAUUAGGUAUUGCAUUUGAAUUGGCCGGUCUAUAUAUUACCGUUAAUCACUCAUGACUAUAAUCAACCAAUACAAAUGCAAAAGUUACAUGUCAACAUUUAAUUUGAUUUAUCUACAAAUGACAUAAUGAACUUAAUUUAUCUAAGAAUUUUUUCAAAUUUAACCCUAGUAAUUACACUUAUCUAGAUUUCUUUUUUACAAAUAUGGUAAUUUAUUACUACUUUGUAUAAAAGAAAUUAUUUUUCUUCUAGCACGCGAAUAUAUUAACAUAUUAACUAUAUCUACCAUUAAAAUAAAGAGAGAGGAAAAAUGGACGGACUAAAACAGAAAAUGCUAACAUAUCAUCAAUCUGUACUGUUAAGAAAAAGAAAGAAAGAAAAAUGGAGGGAAUAAAAUAGAAAAUGCCCAUCAAAAUGGGACGGAAAUUGUAUGAAUUAGGUAGUAUCGAUAUAGCUGAUUUAAGGACAUAAUAUUUUUUUUAGGACUCAUAAUAAUUAUACAGGAAGUGUAAAGAAAAAGGAAGGUGGAUGACGCACGGAGUAAAAAUGUUACAGCAGAAACUGUUGAAAGCAUGCAAUCUGAAGACCUUGACAGUAUUUUGUUCAUUGUUAGUAAAAUCUUCCGAUUGAUGGAGAUUUUGGAUGUCAAGUUGAAUGUUUGCCAUUUCAAAAGUUUUGAAUUUGUCAACAGUAAUGAUAAUAAUUAAUAAUCUUUUUAUUGACUCCCCCCCCCCCCCAAAAAAAAAAAAAAAAAAGGCUUCUUUUCCCAUAUUUGACAAGUUAAGCAUUGAAGAUUCUAUGUCGUCUGAAUAUGUAUAAAACUCCAUUAAGGAACCUAUCAUUUCUCCAUCCAUAUACAAAGCCCCAACAUAAAACUGAUUAUAAGAGAAAAUAAAAGUUCUUGACAGCGUCAAUGGGUUCUUUAAAACUGCUGAUUUCCUGGUUGUUUGUUCUUCUGUUAUUACUUUCUCUAACCAUUGCUCAGCCAAACUUCAUCCAGCAGUCCUGUGACAAUAGCAGAGGAAACUACACAGCGAAUACUCCCUACAAAGCGAACCUCGACAACAUCCUGUCAUCUCUCGCAUCCGACACAGAAAUUGACUACGGGUUUUACAAUCUAUCUAUCGGCGAAUCCCCUAACCAAGUAAAUGCUAUUGCACUUUGUCGAGGAGAUGUUGGAGUGGACAAUUGCCGAGGUUGUAUUAGUAACUCUACUCGUAAGAUUACAGAGGUCUGCCCAAACCAAAUAGACGCAUUUGGAAUAUAUGAUUUCUGUACACUUCGAUACUCCAACAGAUCGAUACUUGGUGUGGUAGAAGGAUCGCCCAUUCUCUACCUAAUAAAUGUGAACAAUGCCUCGGAUGUGAGUCAGUACACUCAGGCAUUGACAGCUUUGUUGGAUAGACUUCGAAGUGAGACAACAUCAGGAGACUCCGUUCGGAAAUUUGCGACAGGAAAUGAAACAGCAGGAUUUGAAAGGGUUUACGCACUUAUGCAAUGUACUCCUGACUUAACCGAAGAAGAGUGCGAUGUUUGCCUGGGUCAGGCUAUUUCAGAAAUUGGAAGUUGCUGUGCAGGGAGGACAGGGGCCGCUGUAUUUAAACCCAGCUGCCAUGUCAGGUUCGAAGAAUACCUUUUCUAUACAUCUACACCUCCGCCAGUCUCGCCCGUGCCUACUCCUCCUGCUCCACCCAUAGAAGGUACGUAGGUUUCACAGGUUAUGAGUCAUUGUGUAUAUUUAUAUAUACAUAGCUCUAGCAGUGACAGUGAUUAUUGACUAAGUGAAACUGAAGCCUUCUCCAGUAUUGUGAGGUUACGAGUUAUAACUCUAAUUGGAGCACAAUUGAUCAAGGUAAAUAAUUAUCCCAUAUUUGUUUCAAAAUUAGACCUUGUAGUCCGGUUUUACUAUUUAACUUGAGCACUUAAAACCUCCAAUUUAAUUAAUUUCUGCAGAAAAGAAGAGCAACAAAUCAAGGACAAUUAUUGCAAUCAUAGUUCCAACUGUUAGUGUUCUGAUAUUUAUCAUCAGCUUCUGCAUCUUCUUGAGGAAGCGGAGGCCAAGGAAAAAAGCUGAAAGUAAGCGACAAUCUAUCUAGUAUUGUUUUACGUUAGUCGCGUAAGAAAUGUAUUAUAUUUCAUUUGCUUGCUCCUCUUGUGAAGCCGUAGAAGAAAUGGAAAGCCCAGAAUCCUUCCAGCUGGACUUUGGAACAGUUAGAGUUGCAACAGAUAACUUCUCUGAGGAAAAUAAGCUUGGACAAGGUGGAUUUGGUGCUGUUUAUAAGGUAACAAAGAAUUCUAUAGUAUGUAGAAGAGAACAGCAUCAUUUUUAUCUUUGUUGAAACAUAUUAGGAUCAGAAUCCAGAUUUUCCUUUAUCGUUGCUCUCAAUAGACAUUAUUAAUUACAGGGUACACUGUAUAAUGGACAAGAUAUAGCAGUCAAAAGGCUUUCUAAGAAUUCAGAACAAGGAGAUCUGGAAUUUAAAAAUGAAAUCCUAUUAGUCGCCAAGCUUCAGCACAGGAAUUUAGUCAGGCUUCUUGGUUUCUGUUUGGAAAGGAAUGAAAGGCUGCUCAUCUAUGAAUUCAUGCCUAACACCAGCCUUGAUCAUUUCUUAUUUGGUAAGCCUACAAUUUUAUCAUCACAAUGUUUAAUUAGUUAUUACAACAUUUAUUUAUGUAAUGUAAUGACCCAUUCACCUAUCAUUUUCCUUAAUAUAAACUUCCACAUUUGCAACACAAAGUCACAAUUGUCUAUAAAUAUUAAACGAAAAUGCAAAAUUUAGUGUCUUCAUACAUUGUGUAUAUUUCCAUGGACAUGUAGAUCAGACAAAGCAUGAAAGUUUAGAUUGGGAAAGGCGCUACAAGAUUAUUUGCGGCAUAGCUCGCGGACUACUUUAUCUUCACGAGGACUCUCAAAUUCGAAUCAUUCACCGUGAUCUCAAAACUAGUAAUAUUUUAUUAGAUAUGGAUAUGAAUCCUAAAAUAGCAGAUUUUGGCAUGGCAAGAUUAUUUGUAAUUGAUCAAACUCAAGGCAAUACAAGUAGAAUUGUGGGAACUUAGUAAGUAUUAAACAAGUUAUAUAGCUAGAAUAGAUAUUCUUGUUACUAUUUUUUUUCUAAAUAAUUAUUUAUAAAAUUAAUAUCAUACUAAUGAAAUUUAAUUCUUCCAAUAUUGGUAUAUAUAUAUAGUGGUUAUAUGGCUCCAGAGUAUGCAAUGCAUGGACAAUUUUCCAUAAAAUCGGACGUAUUUAGUUUUGGAGUACUACUUUUGGAGAUUUUAAGUGGUAAAAAGAAUAGCUCUUUCCACAAUGGAGAGAGGAUAGAGGAUCUAUUGAGCUAUGUAAGUAUGAGCAAAUUGCUUGUGCCUUUAAUAGAAUUGUUGAAAGUAUGUUUUCUUUUAAUAUACAGAGUGCAAUUAUGGACAAAUUUUGCAGGCAUGGAGAAAUUGGAGAGAAGGAACAUCAAUGAAUGUUAUAGAUCCCAGUUUGAAGUCUGGUUCAAGUAGUGAAAUGAUGAGAUGCAUCCAAAUCGGAUUACUAUGUGUUCAAGAAAAUGUGGCUGAUAGGCCUACCAUGGCUACUGUUGUACUCAUGCUAAACAGUUACUCUCUUACUCUACCUGUGCCCCUACGGCCAGCAUUUUUUAUGCACACUGGCAUUCAUUUAGAUGUCUCUUCCGUGGGAAUGAAACUCUGAAGCUGAAAUUCUUCCACUAAUUGAGGAUGUAUCAUUAGUUCUAAUCUUUGUUAUCAAUUGAUUGUUUUUGACUCAAUUUUCAUUAUUCACUUCUGUAUAAGUCUUUCACCUUUACAUUAUAUCUGGUGUAAAUUAAAAUUCAUUUAUAAAUUUAUAUUUUGUAUGAUAAAUAUGAAUAAAAAUUCCUCUAAAAUCUUAUUUUAUUAAAUUGGAUAUAACUAAACUAAAUUUUAUCAAAUGUUUAAAAUGAAUUUUAAAUUUAUAAGAUUAUUCUUAAUUACUCUUGAUUUAAAUAAAUUUUUUACUUCCUUUUUUUGUACAUUUAUUCUUUUCUUUUUCUUGUUUAUUCAAUUAUAAAUUGAUUUUUAAAUAAUUGUAUAUAUAUUUAUUUUUUCAUAUUACAUAAAAUUCUAUUUAAAUACUAUAAAUAAAAUUAAUUCAUUAUAUUAUUUCAACCAAAACCGAACACAAUAGUACCGCUCAUUUUAGAUUUAAGUUUCAAUUAAUUGUUGUUGCUUACUGUGAUGAUCGUAACCAAUUACUGACUUUGAUAAAAAAAAUUUAAUGACUUAUAUUCUUUUUUAGUUACAAAUUUAAAUUUAAAUUAAGUAUGUAUAUCUACCUUCAAAUUAAAUUUGUGAAUAUCUAUAGAUCAAAUCAAUUAUAUGGUGACAUGUGGCUGUAGUUAUUAAUUACAAUAUUUUUAUUGGUUGGUGUAUUUAUUACCAAUAAUAAUUUAUGAUUAAAAUUCAAUCAAUAGAAGUGGUAAAAUUAAUAAAUUAAACCAUAUAUAACUAUGUAAUUGAUUUAGUAUAUAAAUGAUGUGGUAAAAUUAAGUAUUUGGCUAUUAGCAUGUUUCUUAAAAGUAAAAUAAGUUUAAAGCAGCUUUGGGUUAAUUGCUUAAAACAGUCUUCUUUUUCUUUUUUUUUAUUAAAUCCCUCAAUGCACGUAAUUUAAGUGGAUUAGAUCAAAGGAUUUUAAAUAAGAAAUUUAUAAAAUUCGUAAAUCUAAUUUAAAUUAUUCAUAUGAUAAAUAAAGAUAGGAGGCGUUCUACCAUUUCAUUCGUAAAUUAAAUUAAUUGUAUAAUAACAUAUGGUUUUAUUUAUUACUUGUUGCAUUUUCAUUAGUUGACUUAUUUAUUACCGUUAAUAACUCAUGAUUAAAAUUUAAAAUAAAAAUAUAAUAAAUAAUAAAUAAAAUCACAUAUCAUCAUGCAAUUGAUUUAGUUUACGGAUGAUGUAAUAUAUUGAGUUUGCCUAAGAAUUUUUCUAAAAAAUAUUCUAAAUCUAUAAAUUUUUUUAAAAAAUUUCAUCUUCUAAAAUUCUUAAUUUUAAAUUUUAAACUUUCACAAAAUCCAUUAUUUGAAAAAAUAAUGAAUUAUUUUUAUAAUUUUUAAUUCAAGUUUUAUCCUUUAAUAAAUUAAUAUUAUUUUAAAAUAACAUAAUAAUAAUAAUAAUAAUAAUAAUAAUAAUAAUAAUAAUAAUUUUUGCACUACAUAAUUAAAUAUAUAUUUCGAUUUGGAUAAGUUUUUUAUAUUAAUAAUAAUAAAAAAAUGUCUAUCUAUUCAUAUAUGGUUCACGAUUCAAAUACUUUUCAAAGAGUCAAUCCUUGUAUGUAACUUGAUUCAGUAGCGAUUCUUUUUGAUAAUUUCGUUGGUCAAAACAUUUAGAAAGAUUUGUUGAUAAUCGGUAAAAUCUCUUUUAAAUUGAAAAUAAAAAAAAUCCAUCAGCAAAGUUAUAUUCUUAAAAGAAAUUAUUUAAAUGUUUUUAGAAAGUAAAAGUAUGUAAAUAAUAGUUAGCAAAGUUGAGAUUUUUACAGCUAAAGAAAUUAUCUCAACCAAUUUAAUUUAAAAUAACAAAAUGGUGGAUUAGUAUGAAAUAGCAAUUUAACUUAAAAAGUUAUAUUUUAAUUGCUUGAGCAAUCUGAAACGGUGGAUUAGUAUGAAACGCCCGCCAUAACAAACAAUGGACAAAAGGAAAUUCCGCGUUUGGCACGUAAAAAUGCUGAAGUCAACCAAGACGGCUUCUCCUUGACCACUUCUAUCCCCAUCGCUAAUUUUCCGUAUACAUUUUAAGAAAUUAAUUAUUUAUUAUAUGGACCAUCCAUUUUUUUUUAAAAAAAUUAGAAAUUGACUAUUCUACUCCUUUCUCUAUCCAUUGCUCCUUAUUAAAUUCACUUUCUUAAAAUAUUUAAAAUUUAAUAUUUUAUUAAGUUUAAAUAAUACCCCUUAUGUUAAGGUUAGAUUAAAUAUACUGAUAUUCAACCAUCUUAUUUAUUAAUUCUAUUAAAGUGAAAAAUAUUAAAUUUUUUUGGUGACAAGUUAAAUUUACUAAAGAAUAAUUUUUAUUUAAAUAUAUAGCAAUGAUGAUAAAAUUUAAAACAUUAUAUAAAUCGAAUAGAAUUAAAAUUGAUUAAUUUUAAAUAAUAAAAUAUGCAUCAAAUAUCUAAUAUUAAAGUGUAAAAGACUUGUAUAUACUCUUGAUAUAUAAACCAAGCUUAGAUAAACUAUAAAGGUUUAUAAAAACAAAAAAAAGAAAACUAAUUUUGCAUCCACGGAAAGUUUGCAAUUAAAUAUGAUCCACUUGUAAUUAAUUUUUUUUAUUAUUCAACUUCUAGAAUUGCAUGGCCUAAAUUAAGCUCUAUUCUCCGAUUAGAAAAUAGAAUAAAAAGGAAAGACUAUCUUUUUUUUUCAGAAGAAAAAAAAAAAGACUAUAGACCAUCUUCAACGAAAAUAAUAAAAGUUCAUGGAAAUUUCUCGUGCCUUUCUUUUAAUUAUUAUUAUUAUUAUUAUUAUUAUAAAGAAGAACCAUGCAUGGAUUAUUUACGAUUUCAAGCACUUUCUUUCAAACCCAUCAAAAGCAAACUGAUUAAGAUUCAAACAGAAAUGAGGUUUUUAAGAUUUAUAUUUUCCUAUGUAUACAUUAUUCUUGUACAUCUAGCUAUUCUUACCAUGCAGCAAAAUUUCAGGCUGCGUCGGUCCUGUUCUAACAUAGGAAACUACACAGCUAAUAGCACCUACCAAAGGAACCUCAACGACCUGCUAUCUUCCCUUGCAUCUAACACUGCAAUUGACUAUGGCUUUUACAAUCUCUCUUGGGGUCAAAUUCCUGAUCAAGUGAAUGCAAUUGCACUUUGUAGGGGCGAUGUUCCGUCACGCACUUGUAGAGAGUGCGUUAGUAACUCUACCCGUGAUAUCUUGCGGACUUGUCCCAUUCAGAAGGAGGCAAUUGAAAUUUAUGAUUACUGUAUGCUGAGAUUCUCUAACAAAUCCAUAUUCGGAGUCGUGGAAGGAAACCCAACUUUCUAUAUGCGGAAUAGGAACACUGUAAUCGAUGUAAAUCCUUACAACCAAGCAUUGGAUACGUUGUUUGCGACACUUAGAAGCAGAGCUACGUCAGGAAACUCUACCCUAAAAUUUGCAACAGGAAACAUAGCUGCGGGUAUUCGUACAAUACACGCACUUGUGCAAUGCACUCCGGAUCUGUCUAAGCAGCAGUGCAAUGAUUGCUUGGUGAAUGCUAUCGGGGAGAUUCCAAAUGCUAGUGCUGACAGGGAAGGCGGGAGAGUACUGAAACCAAGCUGCAAUGUCAGGUAUGAGACCUAUCGUUUUGUUAAUGCUGAACUUGAUGCACCAGUGUCGUCGCCACAACCACCGCCAUUAUCUCCAUCACCGUCGACGCCAGUAGCUCCGCCUCCGCCUCGGUCUCCAUCAACAGGAGGUGUUUAUGGAUAUCUUAUUUGGUUGAUAAUUCGUGGUUCAUAUAUACUUUAUAUAUGACAAAUUAUUUAUCCUUUUAACCUAGCAGGGAAGAAGAGCAACGAAGCACGAAUUAUCAUUAUAAUUGUCGUUCCAAUUGUGAGCAUUCUAAUACUUGUCAUCUGCGUCUGCAUCUUUCUAAGAGCGAGGAAGCCAAUGAAAGAAAUUGAAAGUGAGUAAAGAAAAAAAAAAAAAAGGAAAAUCAGAUAUUCAUUUGCAUUAAUUUGCAUUAACUUGUUCUUUUUGUAAAGGUGUGGAUGAAAUACAAAGUGAGCUGGAGUCUUUGCAAUUCGACUUCGGCACUGUUAGGGCUGCGACAAAUAACUUUUCGGAGGAAAAUAAGCUUGGUCAAGGUGGAUUUGGGGUUGUUUACAAGGUAAAAUCUGAUACUAAUCAGGACAUCUAAAUCUAAAUCCUCUAUGUUGGUUAAUUAACUAUUGUUCUAUUUCUGCAGGGUACACUUUAUAACAGACAAGAUAUAGCUGUCAAAAGACUUUCUAAGGAUUCAGGACAAGGGGAUCUAGAAUUUAAAAAUGAAGUCUUGUUGGUGGCCAAGCUUCAACACCGGAAUUUAGUUAGGCUUCUUGGUUUCUGCUUGGAAGGAAAUGAAAGGCUUCUCAUCUAUGAGUUUGUGCCCAA